AAGUCGUAACAAGGUUUCCGUAGGUGAACCUGCGGAAGGAUCAUUAACACGUAUCCAAACGUUAAACCCCCCUGUGAACCUUCAGUCGUACUCGUACGUCCGUAAAUCAUCGCCGAACAGUUUUCGAUUCAGGGACGUCUGCAAGGAGCGUGCAUGUUGUGCGUGUAAGUGGCCUGGCAUCCCCAAGCAGUUAGUGUCUGAAAGUGUCACUAACGUUAGUGUCUGAAAGUGUCACUAACAUGUGUAAGGAUGACGCAGUCACGAUCGUUGGAGGCCCACACGGCCGACGACCGGGUCACUGGGUGCAAGCCCCCUUAUCACACCCCUGCUCUAUCUAUGGUGAUCCUGCGGGAAGUCCUGCGGUCGAACGCCGAAACCGAACAACUGUUAACAAUGGAUAUCUUGGUUCUC
rnacentral:misc_RNA from 1 species